rnacentral:rRNA from 1 species
AGGGUUCGAUUCUGGCUCAGGAUGAACGCUGGCGGCGUGCCUAAUACAUGCAAGGUGAAACGGGUAUCUUCGGAUACCAGUCGCGGACGGGUGAGUAAUACGAUAGGCAACCUGCCUUUAUGAGGGGGAGUAACCGAGGGAAACUUUGGCUAAUACCGCAUGAAGACUCUAAGGCAUCUUAGAGGGAUAAAAGUUGGGAAACAACGCAUGAAGAUGGGCUUAUGGCGCAUUAGCUAGUUGGUGAGAUAGAAGCCCACCAAGGUAAUGAUGCGUAGCCGACCUGAGAGGGUGAACGGCCACAUUGGGACUGAGACACGGCCCAAACUCCUACGGGAGGCAGCAGUAGGGAAUUUUCGGCAAUGGGGGGAACCCUGACCGAGCAACGCCGCCGUGAAGGAAGAAGGUUUUCGGAUUGUAAACUUCUGUUAUAAGGGAAGGACGGAUUGGAUAGGGAAUGAUCUGAUAGUGACGGUACCUUAUUAGAAAGCCACGGCUAACUACGUGCCAGCCGCAGC